CACGUAGGGUGCGAGCGUUGUCCGGAAUUAUUGGGCGUAAAGAGCUCGUAGGCGGUGUGUCGCGUCGGCCGUGAAAACCUGCAGCUUAACUGUGGGCUUGCGGUCGAUACGGGCAUCACUGGAGUUCGGCAGGGGAGACUGGAAUUCCUGGUGUAGCGGUGAAAUGCGCAGAGAUCAGGAGGAACACCGGUGGCGAAGGCGGGUCUCUGGGCCGAUACUGACGCUGAGGAGCGAAAGCGUGGGGAGCGAACAGG
rnacentral:rRNA from 1 species